rnacentral:rRNA from 1 species
UACGUAGGGUGCGAGCGUUGUCCGGAAUUACUGGGCGUAAAGGGCGCGUAGGCGGCCUGCUAAGUCGAACGGUGAAAUCCCCGAGCUCAACUCGGGAACUGCGUCCGAUACUGGCAGGCUUGAAUCCGGGAGAGGGAUGCGGAAUUCCAGGUGUAGCGGUGAAAUGCGUAGAUAUCUGGAGGAACACCGGUGGCGAAGGCGGCAUCCUGGACCGGCAUUGACGCGUGAGGCGCGAAGCCAGGGAGCAAACGGG